GAGCAAAACCAUCAUAAUAGAUGGUGGAAAAUUGUCUUGAAGACUGGCAAUAACAUAUGUGCAGUUUCUCCGUGCCUCUGUGAUCCUUCAUAGACGGCCUCGAACAGAUUGCUACAUU